CGGUUUCUCCUGUCUAUCACUGCUCGCACCAAGCUAAACGUCGGGAAAGCCGGAGUUUGUCCAGAUCCAGCUUUCAACACAGUAGAUUUUCUAAACGACCUUAACUCACUACCUGAGGUUUACAUGUUGUUUCUCACGAUGUAUCACGUAUCCGUGAAAACCAUUCCCAUAACUUGCUGCCAAAGCAAGUGGUGGCAAUUCUAGUAAAGGAACAUGGGCGUUCUAUGCGAGAACCCACCUUCCAUAUCUCAUCCAGACGACUAGCAUGGUAAGCGAUGAUAGCGGUUCAGAGCAUAUCAGGCAUCAAGCGAUCGGGGCCAUAUGAUAUCCAGGCAAA
rnacentral:sRNA from 1 species